rnacentral:rRNA from 1 species
UACGUAGGUGGCGAGCGUGUCCGGAUUACUGGGCGUAAAGAGCCCGCAGGCGGCCUGGCAAGUUCUGGGUGAAAUCUCCCGGCUUAACUGGGAGGGUGCGCCGAAAACUGGAAGGCUUGAGUAUGGGAGAGGUAAGCGGAAUUCCUGGUGUAGCGGUGAAAUGCGCAGAUAUCAGGAGGAACACCGAUGGCGAAGGCAGGUCUCUGGGCAUUAACUGACGCUGAGGAGCGAAAGCAUGGGGAGCGGAACAGG